rnacentral:lncRNA from 1 species
CGAUGAGACCCCCACACAGUCAGACCGGCUCUCCAUGCUCUCCCAGGAGAUUCAGACUCUCAAGAGCUCUAGCAUGAGCAGCUGUGAAGAGCGAGUGAAAAGGCUGUCAGUGUCUGAGCUAAACGAACUGCUGGAAGAAAUUGAGACGGCCAUUAAGGAGUACUCUGAGGAGCUAGUGCAGCAGUUGGCCCUGAGAGAUGAGCUGGAGUUUGAGAAGGAAGUGGAGAACAGCUUUAUUUCUGCUCUGAUUGAAGUGCAGAACAAGCAGAAAGAACACAAGGAGACAGCCAAGAAGAAGAAGAAGCUCAAAAAUGGCAGCUCUCAGAAUGGGAGGAAUGAGAGAAGUCACAUGCCAGGCACAUAUUUGACGACAGUCAUCCCUUACGAGAAAAAGAAUGGCCCGCCGUCUGUGGAAGAUCUUCAAAUAUUAACAAAAAUUCUGCAUGCCAUGAAGGAGGACAGUGAGAAAGUUCCAAGCUUGUUAACGGACUAUAUACUGAAAGUUCUGUGUCCGACAUAGAGCAGCGGUAUGGUGGGAGCCGCUUCCCCUUCUGUGGACUCCAGGCUUCAUGACCUAUGCUGUUACUCUGGAACAUGCUGUCACGACUCCCGGCUUUUGGAGACCCAGCACACUUGAACUUGGAUUUGCAAUUCAGUAUUAAUAGAUCAUCCACUAAUCCAUCACGUUAUAGCACUACGAGAGCUUCAGCACUCUGGAAUUCUAGAGAUAGGAUUUGGUAUACAUAACCAUUAUGAACUGGUUUCUAAGUUAACAGUCAAGGAGAGGGAGGGAUAUGGACUGUGCAUGCUGUUGUUUUUGACAGUGUGGCUGUUAGGUUUUGAGUUCCUCCAUCUGAACUGACUGAAGAACUAGGUUAAAGCACGGGGCGAGCCAACUGUAGCUGUUCUUCAGCGAGGGUGAGGAUCGGUGCUUUUAGAGCAUCUUCAGACUAUUACCUACCAGUAUUGUCCAGAAACUGAGAUUCAGCGUGGCUGCUGGGAAACAGUGCCACCCGCCUUCACUGCUUUCGCCUCAUUGUGGACGCCUGACGCGGUUGGAAACUGAGUUUUGUAAUGUCUGCCUGAUUCACCAUUGUUGGCAUGCGAGCCGUUAGGAUGCCAUUCACAAUCAUUAUGAACUUUGGGUGUGUCUGUCCCGUGAAGAAGUGUAUGUUGAAAGGGGUUCAUGCCUCUAAGGUGCUUAAGGAGCUGCUGAGGUACUGCCUUUUCUCAUGGGUGUGCUCGGUUUUAUUUACACCUAUGUGCUUUUCUAGAAAAAGCUGCUCAUGGCUGCAACACUAAUCAUGAACACUUUUGCCAGUUUCAAUCAAAUCAGCGGCAUUUAAUAAAACAGUUCACACUUAGGGG